GGUGCUGUAGUACAACGGUUAGUAUGCUUCGUUGUGGCCGAAGUGAUACCGGUUCGAUUCCGGUCAGCACCA
rnacentral:tRNA from 1 species